CCUGGUGGUUUUUGCGAAGGGCUCAGAACCCGAUCCCAUCCCGAACUCGACCGUUAAAUCCUUCAGCGCCGAUGGUACUAAGUCUCAAGGCUUGGGAGAGUAGGUCACCGCCAGGU
rnacentral:rRNA from 1 species